UGGGGGAUAUUGCACAAUGGGGGGAACCCGUGAUGCAGCGACGCCGCGUGGGUGAAGGAGCGUUUCGGCGCGUAAAGCCCUAUCGGCAGGGAAGAAGGAGGACGGUACCUGACUAAGAAGCCCCGGCUAACUACGUGCC
rnacentral:rRNA from 1 species